CAAAAACAUGUCCUUUAGUGAUUUAUUUAAGGUCUAACCUGCCCAAUGAGGUAUUGAAUGGCCGCGGUAUUUUAACCGUGCUAAGGUAGCAUAAUAAUUUGUCUUUUAAUUGGGGGCUGGAAUGAAAGGUUGGACGAGGCAUAAACUUUCUUUAAUUUAAUUGAAUGAAUUUAAUUUUUGAGUUAAAAAGCUUGGAUUUUUUUAUUAGACGAGAAGACCCUAUAGAUCUUUACAGUUGUAGUGAUUUAGUAAUUUAGAGGAUUAUUUAUUUUAAUCAUUAUUAUUGUUUUGUUGGGGUGACAGUGGGAUUUUUUUAACUCUCAUUUAUAUUUUUCAUUUAUAAGUGUUUUUAUGAUCCAUAAUUUAUGAUUAUAAGAUUAAGUUACCUUAGGGAUAACAGCGUAAUUUCUUCGGAGAGUUCAUAUCGAUGAUGAAGUUUGCGACCUCGAUGUUGGAUUAAAAUUAGGAGUGGAUGUAGCAGUUUACUUGCUGGGUCUGUUCGACCCUUGAAUUUUUACAUGAUCUGAGUUCA
rnacentral:rRNA from 1 species